CAGGUCAUAGUGAUCCGGUGGUUCUGAAUGGAAGGGCCAUCGCUCAACGGAUAAAAGGUACUCCGGGGAUAACAGGCUGAUACCGCCCAAGAGUUCAUAUCGACGGCGGUGUUUGGCACCUCGAUGUCGGCUCAUCACAUCCUGGGGCUGAAGUAGGUCCCAAGGGUAUGGCUGUUCGCCAUUUAAAGUGGUACGCGAGCUGGGUUUAGAACGUCGUGAGACAGUUCGGUCCCUAUCUGCCGUGGGCGCUGGAGAACUGAGGGGAGCUGCUCCUAGUACGAGAGGACCGGAGUGGACGCAUCACUGGUGUUCGGGUUGUCAUGCCAAUGGCACUGCCCGGUAGCUAAAUGCGGAAGAGAUAAGUGCUGAAAGCAUCUAAGCACGAAACUUGCCCCGAGAUGAGUUCUCCCUGACUCCUUGAGAGUCCUGAAGGAACGUUGAAGACGACGACGUUGAUAGGCCGGGUGUGUAAGCGCAGCGAUGCGUUGAGCUAACCGGUACUAAUGAACCGUGAGGCUUAACCUUACAACGCCGAAG
rnacentral:rRNA from 1 species